UAUAUAUAUAUAUAUAUUUUUUUUUUUAUUUUAGCAAAAUGUUAAUGUAGAUAUGAUCCUUAAUAAAAUGCAAAAUUCAAUGAACCCGUCCGUUAAAAACCAUAAUUAUACAAAAUCUCAAAAUGAGUUAAGCCCCUUUGCAGUUAAUACACCCAAGCCAAAAAAAUCGUUUGAUACAUUAAUGAAUAAUGCACUUAAAAGAUCAAAAGAAGAAGACUGUAUUAACAAUCCAGUUGAGUUUGAAGGGACUCAAGAGUUUAGUUAUAAAAAUAUAUUAGGUAAGAUUCCUAUAUGUUCAUUUAUAAAUAAUUACCAAGAAACUAAUAAUUAUACAAAUAAUAUGCCAAUACAACAAAAUAUAUCAAAUAUAUUAUUAAAUAUACCAUUUAUACCUGUCAUGCCUAGAACAGUCAACACUCAUUUAAUGGAAAGUCCUUCAUAUUUUAAUCCAUAUAUGCGUGGUUAUUAUCCUAACAAUUGUGCUAUAGUAAAUCCUAACAAUCCCUCAUUUUUUAAUAUGCCUAUAGCAUUAUUUGAUACUAAUUAUACAUCAAAUAAAAACAUGAAUUUAUGUGCUAUGCGAAAUGCGCAUAUGCAUAACAAUAAUUCUUCUAUGAAUUUCCAAAUGUCACCAUUUAUACCAUCAAAUAUACCACCAGCUAUGGUACAAAAUAUACCACCACCUAUAGCACAAAAUAUACCACCAGCUAUGGCACAAAAUAUACCACCAGCUAUGGCACAAAAUAUAACACCAGCUAUGGCACAAAAUAUAACACCAGCUAUGGCGCCAACUAUUGGUUAUGGUAUUAAUGAUAAUAAUUCCAUUAAUAUGAUAAAUAAUUCAAAUAUGCCUUCUCCUAAUUUAAAUAUACCUGCAUACUCUCCCGAAUUUGUUUUUAUGAACGCACAUAAAUAUCCGAACUCUCAUUCCAUGCCUUUACCCUUUUUUCCUCAAUAUCAAAGUUACUAUCCGCACCCUACACAUGGAACGAAUAAUGCAUAAAAAAUGUGAAAAAUAAAAAAGGCAUAAUAACAAAACA
rnacentral:lncRNA from 1 species